AGACUCCCCCGCCUGCGACUUGUACCACUCAUGAUGAAGAAGGUGAUUCACCCAGGGCGAAGCUCAGCCAUUGCACUCCAGGUCUUGCUGACCCCUGCGAAUUCCCCAAAUGUUAGGAAUCUCGACCGCAUCAUUUCUGUUAAUGUGCACUGGGUUGGCUUUCAUGGCAUA